GAUGACCUAGUGGUUAGAGCGUCCGCCUCAGAUGCGGAAGGUCUAGGGUUCGAUACCCAGUGGAGUCA